GACGAACGCUGGCGGCGUGCUUAACACAUGCAAGUCGAACGGAAAGGCCCUGCUUUUGUGGGGUGCUCGAGUGGCGAACGGGUGAGUAACACGUGAGUAACCUGCCCUUGACUUUGGGAUAACUUCAGGAAACUGGGGCUAAUACCGGAUAGGAGCUCCUGCUGCAUGGUGGGGGUUGGAAAGUUUCGGCGGUUGGGGAUGGACUCGCGGCUUAUCAGCUUGUUGGGGGGGUAGUGGCUUACCAAGGCUUUGACGGGUAGCCGGCCUGAGAGGGUGACCGGCCACAUUGGGACUACGAUACGGCCCAGACUCCUACGGGAGGCAGCAGGGGGGAAUAUUGCACAAUGGGCGGAAGCCUGAUGCAGCAACGCCGCGUGCGGGAUGACGGCCUUCGGGUUGUAAACCGCUUUCGCCUGUGACGAAGCGUGAGUGACGGUAAUGGGUAAAGAAGCACCGGCUAACUACGUG
rnacentral:rRNA from 1 species